rnacentral:tRNA from 1 species
GCGGAUUUAGCUUAGUGGCAAAGCAGCGGCUUUCCAGGUCGCAGACCGAUGUUCGAUUCAUCGAAUCCGCU